GAUGAACGCUAGCGACAGGCCUAACACAUGCAAGUCGAGGGGCAUCGGGGCGUAGCAAUACGCUGCCGGCGACCGGCGGAUGGGUGAGUAACGCGUAUGCAACCUGCCUUCAGCAGGGGGAUAGCCCGUUGAAAGACGGAUUAAUACCCCAUAAACACAGGGGCUCCGCAUGGAGAUUAUUGUUAAAGGGAUACUUCCUUCGGGGGGUAUUCCGGCUGAAGAUGGGCAUGCGUUCCAUUAGGUAGUUGGUUGAGGUAACGGCUCACCAAGCCUACGAUGGAUAGGGGAACUGAGAGGUUGGUCCCCCACACUGGUACUGAGACACGGACCAGACUCCUACGGGAGGCAGCAGUGAGGAAUCUUGGUCAAUGGACGGAAGUCUGAACCAGCCAUGUCGCGUGAAGGGGACGGCCCUAAGGGUUGUAAACUUCUUUUGCAGCGGAAUAAAGUAUUCCACGAGAUGGGAUAUUGCAAGUACGCUGCGAAUAAGGAUCGGCUAACUCCGUG
rnacentral:rRNA from 1 species